ACUAAGCUUCUUUGCUCGGCCGGUUCGCGAACCCUGUUCUCCGUCAAUCCUCGCUGCGGCAAGUAACUUUCUCCCCUGUCCCUUUUUAUUUUCGUUUUCAAAAUUAGGGUUUGUUCAUUUUUCAUUUUUGCAGAGAAAGCCAAAGAAAUUGUUGGCUGACAAGAUUAGGAGAAAAUACAUACGUUUAUCUCGGAGACUUCCUCCACCCUUUUGAAGGGCGCAUAUACCAGUAAAAAACCGUACUGUUAUAAUACUCGAGACAGAUACUGGAGAACAAUACGAAGCCAAUUAUCUGCCUCAAUAUCGUGGACUCAGUGGUGGGUGGAAAAGGUUUGCCAUAGUUCUGAAAUUGGAAGGAGAUACUGUUGUUUUUCAACUAGUUGAACCUGCCAAAUUUAAGUCUACCUCUUCUAGAAUCAAAUCACUAAACUAGUUGAAGCUGAGGAUAAAAGCUGCUAAUGAAGCUGAGGCGGCUUGCCAACGGCGUCUCUCUGUUGCUGAGGCUGAAAUAGCUGAUUUAAGAUCCAAAUUGGAUACUACUGAAAGCAUGGAAGGCAAGCAUUCGUUUCUGUGCCUAGCACUUUUCCUGUGCCUGGAGAAGAACUGAUGUUUUGAUGAUUGUAAGAGGGGCAAGGAGAAGCUUGUUUGUGAUGCUGCUCAAGUACUGCUUUAUUUCGGAGUUGAACAAAUCAUCUAUGUUUCUGAAAUGACGCACUGCUAAAUAAAGGUCUACACUCCGAGGAAUGCGCCUAUACUAGUGAGGAAAUUGAUGUGGUUCGUGAGCAACGGGCUAAGUGUUUUACCCGCAAGUAUUUACUAUUGGCUUGAGCGCGCUUGAUCGAGGUGGUUUAGUUGUUAUAGAACAAUCGUUUACAUUAAAAUGUAUGCGUACAUUGAAAUUGGAACGUAUAUUUGAAUGUAGUACGUGCACUUUGGUUUUGGGAUAUAUAUAUAUGUAUACAAAACACCAGUUAUUAUUUUUUAUAUUUGUUGA